UGCAGGGCUUGGCCUUCCGUGCCUACUGAGCUGAUACUCAGUUGCUUUAGAUAAACUGGCUCAGUUCAGCAGGAACAGGAGUCCAGCCCAGUC
ensembl:miRNA aca-mir-24-1 aca-mir-24-1